rnacentral:misc_RNA from 1 species
GUCACGCCCGAAGUCGUUACCCCAACCCUUGUGGAGGGGGAUGCCUAAGGCAGGACUGGUGACUGGGGUGAAGUCGUAACAAGGUAGCCGUACCGGAAGGUGUGGCUGGAUCACCUCCUUUUAGGGAGACCUACCCACUCAAAUAUCGAAAACAAUCAGCGAUUAGAUAUUGAGUUGGUCAUCCUAAGGUCGUUCGAGAUUGGUUGAAACUUUCAAAGUAUUAAUGGUUCGGUUGCUCAACGAGCUAAGCAAGAUUUACCUAAAUAUUUGGAUACAGAAACUCAGCAACCGGGCAAAUUAGCCGGACUGCUGGGAGAGAAGACCAGCCAGAACCUUGAAAACUGCAUAGUGACGCGAAAAAAAAUGCAGGCAGACACAGACACGAAAAUGUUAGUGAAUGCUGAAAAAGUGAAACACCAAAAAUGUUUGAGUGGUCAAGCUAAUAAGGGCUAACGGUGGAUACCUAGGCACACAGAGG